rnacentral:rRNA from 1 species
UACGUAGGGGGCAAGCGUUGUCCGGAAUCAUUGGGCGUAAAGAGCGCGUAGGCGGCCCAGUAAGUCCGCUCUGAAAGUCAGAGGCUCAACCUCUGAAUGCGGGUGGAUACUGCUGGGCUAGAGUCCGGAAGAGGCGAGUGGAAUUCCCGGUGUAGCGGUGAAAUGCGCAGAUAUCGGGAGGAACACCUAUGGCGAAGGCAGCUCGCUGGGACGUUACUGACGCUGAGACGCGAAAGCGUGGGGAGCAAACAGG